AGUGGCAGACGGGUGAGUAAUGUAUAGGAAUCUACCUAGUAGUACGGAAUAAUUGUUGGAAACGGCAACUAAUACCGUAUACGCCCUACGGGGGAAAGAUUUAUCGCUAUUAGAUGAGCCUAUAUUAGAUUAGCUAGUUGGUAAGGUAAUGGCUUACCAAGGCAAUGAUCUAUAGCUGAUCUGAGAGGAUGAUCAGCCACACUGGAACUGAGAUACGGUCCAGACUCCUACGGGAGGCAGCAGUGGGGAAUAUUGGACAAUGGGCGAAAGCCUGAUCCAGCCAUGCCGCAUGAGUGAAGAAGGCCUUUGGGUUGUAAAGCUCUUUCGGUGAGGAAGAUAAUGACGGUACUCACAGAAGAAGUCCUGGCUAACUCCGUGCCAGCAGCCGCGGUAAUACGGAGAGGGCUAGCGUUAUUCGGAAUUAUUGGGCGUAAAGAGCGCGUANGCUGGUUAGUAAGUUAAAAGUGAAAUCCCAAAGCUCAACUUUGGAAUUGCUUUUAAAACUGCUAACCUAGAGAUUGAAAGAGGAUAGAGGAAUUCCUAGUGUAGAGGUGAAAUUCGUAAAUAUUANGAGGAACACCAGUGGCGAAGGCGUCUAUCUGGUUCAAAUCUGACGCUGA
rnacentral:rRNA from 1 species